GAAUGGGAGGGUGAUCUAGCUGUGACAUCUGUCAUCCAUUGAUUGCCAGGGUUGAUUCGGCUGAUCUGGCUGGCUAGGUGGGUGUCCCCUUCCUCCCGCACCAAUCCAUGUGCAUCCCUCCCAAAGCUGCACUGAACGCUUCCCGGAAUAGAGGAGGACCCGUCUUUAGUCAAGGGUAUACGAGUAGCUGCGGUCCCCUGCUAGAACCUCCAAACAAGCUCUCAAAACCACACCUGUUUACUCAUAAACUGUAAACCCUUGAGGCAGUUGCCAGAUCACCUCUGUAAGUCUACAUGACAAUCCCCAUAGCUGG
ensembl:misc_RNA 7SK 7SK RNA